rnacentral:rRNA from 1 species
GGACUACACGGGUAUCUAAUCCUGUUUGCUCCCCACGCUUUCGCGUCUCAGCGUCAGUAACGAUCCAGAGGGCCGCCUUCGCCGCCGGUGUUCCUCCUGAUAUCUACGCAUUUCACCGCUACACCAGGAAUUCCACCCUCCUCUAUCGCACUCCAGCUGGCUAGUUUCCGAUGCACUUCCGAGGCUAAGCCCCGGGCUUUCACACCAGACUUGACCAACCGCCUACACGCCCUUUACGCCCAGUCAAUCCGAACAACGCUUGCACCCUCCGUCUUACCGCGGCGGCUGGCAC